CCCGGCGCGCCGGGGCCGCGUAGCACGGCCCCGCCCGCCCGCUCCCCGCCGCCGCCGCCGCCAGGAUACUGAAGAUGGUGCGCUCCCAGGGCUCCAGCAUGUAGAGCGCGGUGACCAGCAGACACCGGGAAAGGGUCGUUCCCAGAUGGGCAGGAGAUGCCGUGUUACCGAACGAGGCCCCCUCUGAGCCUCCCGGCGCGGGUGGGCAGUAGCCCGCAGCACCCCGACCCUGCUGCUCCAAAACGUCCUCGUCACGCAAAGAAGCCUUCGCUACAGCAGGUCACCUCGUACCUGCCCUAAACCUCUGUCAAGCACCGAAGUAUCGCAGCAUGCUAGGGACUGCACCUGCACACGCACGUCUUCACUGCAGUGAGGGAUAAUCCAUGGCAUAGGCACGUUUGGGUCAAAAUAAAUUAAAUUACGCGACUGAGCACGAACUUUGAGUAAAUUGCUGACCUGAGUCAAA